GACGAACGCUGGCGGCGUGCUUAACACAUGCAAGUCGAACGGAAAGGCCCUGCUUGCCGGGUACUCGAGUGGCGAACGGGUGAGUAACACGUGGGUGAUCUGCCCUGCACUUCGGGAUAAGCCUGGGAAACUGGGUCUAAUACCGGAUAGGAGCCAUUUUUAGUGUGAUGGUUGGAAAGUUUUUUCGGUGUAGGAUGAGCUCGCGGCCUAUCAGCUUGUUGGUGGGGUAAUGGCCUACCAAGGCGGCGACGGGUAGCCGGCCUGAGAGGGUGGACGGCCACAUUGGGACUGAGAUACGGCCCAGACUCCUACGGGAGGUAGCAGUGGGGAAUAUUGCACAAUGGGCGCAAGCCUGAUGCAGCGACGCCGCGUGGGGGAUGACGGCCUUCGGGUUGUAAACUCCUUUCGCUAGGGACGAAGCUUUUUGUGACGGUACCUAGAGAAGAAGCACCGGCUAACUACGUG
rnacentral:rRNA from 1 species